UCUGGGUGGCAUGGCCACACGCCGUGUUGAAGUACUUCCUUUAUCCUAUGGAAAAUGGAAAUUUCCCGGUGGCGUGGUUGUGUUACCUUUCUGCCGUGUCUGUGUUUACAGGUGCUGGCCUCGGUCAGCAUGCUUNCGGAUGCCUUNCAUCGGGUGUCCGGAGCGGACGGCACGUUUACUUUGAACAAAUUUGAGUGCUCAAAGCAGNCCGUAGAGCCUNAAAAGUCUUGCAUGGAAUAAUGAAAUAGGACUUCGGUUCUAUUUUGUUGGUUUUCGGAUCCGAAGUAAU
rnacentral:rRNA from 1 species